AUUGAACGCUGGCGGCAUGCCUUACACAUGCAAGUCGAACGGUAACGGGCCUUCGGGUGCCGACGAGUGGCGAACGGGUGAGUAAUACAUCGGAACGUGCCAGAUCGUGGGGGAUAACGAGGCGAAAGCUUUGCUAAUACCGCAUACGAUCUACGGAUGAAAGCAGGGGACCGCAAGGCCUUGCGCGGACGGAGCGGCCGAUGGCAGAUUAGGUAGUUGGUGGGAUAAAAGCUUACCAAGCCGACGAUCUGUAGCUGGUCUGAGAGGAUGAUCAGCCACACUGGGACUGAGACACGGCCCAGACUCCUACGGGAGGCAGCAGUGGGGAAUUUUGGACAAUGGGCGCAAGCCUGAUCCAGCCAUGCCGCGUGCAGGAUGAAGGCCUUCGGGUUGUAAACUGCUUUUGUACGGAACGAAAAGCCUUCUUUUAAUACAGGAGGGUCAUGACGGUACCGUAAGAAUAAGCACCGGCUAACUACGUG
rnacentral:rRNA from 1 species